UGCCAUCCAAUAAUUAUGUGG
rnacentral:piRNA from 1 species